rnacentral:sRNA from 1 species
AAGUUAUUACUAGUAAUUGAGUCCUGAACUCACCUAUGAAUAUUCAGAUUUUUUUUUUCCUGGUCUAGCAGUGCUGUCAUAAACUUCUCUAGACAUGGUUUUUAUUUUUUUUUUUGUCUUUUUACAUUCUUUUGGAUUAUUAACAUAGCAGGAGGUGAAAAAGUGACUUUGAAUAACAUCAUGGAGGUGAAAGUGACUUUGAGUAGCAUCAUGUAAAGAUUUGUACAUUAAUGAGCUUGCCAGUUUGUUCCAGAAUCCAAAAGGUCAGCUAUACUCAGAAGCUUUUAAAAAUUCUGACUUCUCUUUUUUGAUCAGCCUGCAGUGCCUCAAAGCCCUUUGAAAAAUGAAUUAAGAAGGAAAUACUUGACCCAAGUGGAUAUACUGCUACAAGGUGCAGAGUAUUUUGAGCGUGCAGGUAACAGAGCUGGAAGGGAUGUACAUGUGACUCCGCUGCCUUCACUGGCCUC